rnacentral:rRNA from 1 species
GACGAACGCGGGCGGCGUGCUUAACUCAUGCAAGUCGAACGAAGGGGCGAACGGGUGUGUAAUACGCGGGUACCCGGCCCUCCUUCUUGGGAUAAGCCUGGGAAACGGGGUCUAAUACCGAAUAAAGGGGGAUGGGCUCGCGGCCUAUCAGCUUGUUGGUGGGGUGGUGGCCUACCAAGGCGGUGACGGGGAGCCGGCCUGAGAGGGUGACCGGCGACGUGGGGACUGAGGUACGGCCCAGACUCCUAUGGGGGGCAGCAGUGGGGGAUGUUGCGCAAUGGGCGACAGACUGAUGCAGCGACGCGGCGUGGGGGAUGUGGGCUUUCGGGUUGUAAUCCUCUUUCGCUAUCGAAAGGGUAUUUGGAGAAGAAGCACCGGCUAACUACGUGCCAGCCGCCGCGGUAAUUC